CUUAAGCGCUUCAUUUGUCAAAAAACAACUCUCUCUCUCUCUUCCUCUCAAAGCAAACACAAGCUCUGCAAACUUCUAAAUACCUCUGACUUCAACCUACCAGAGAAGAUGGCGGUUGCCGGCCAACGGCGGCGGCACCACCUUCUUCUCCGGCGAACCACCACUCAAAACCUAAAUCUCAAAUACCAACUCCCCUUUAUUCACGCUCGCGGUUGCGGAUCCGGCCACAAAAACAACAAAAUCCCAACCACAAACCCAAAUCGGAAACCCUAAAACAGAAAACCUAAUUCGCACAAAACGAAAUUAAACCCAAGAUCUACGGAGUCUCAAGAAAUUACCAAAGGAAAAAGGAUCAACGAGAAGAGCUCUAUAUCAAGACGAAAUUAAAAGGGAAAGAAGAAACUCAAGACUACCUACACAGAGAGAUUUUGGCGUGGUUCCGGCGACAAACUCGAAGGUGAAGUGAUGUUGAAUUGAUUGAAAAGGGGCGCUGGCUUUUUGAGUUGGGGCACUACACGAAGGGACCAUUCGCUUUGGAGAAAGUCUCUGAAGACUACUUCAAACCAUUAGACUCCAUUCAAUUAUUUUCAGAAUUUUAGAUUAUUUUUGUAACCUGUAAAUUAGUCAAAUGCUCCUUUGGAUUUUUGUGUAAAUUUGGAUUAUUUGGAGUUUUUUUUUAAUAUGUAAAUUUAAUUUGAAACUUCCUUUUUUUUGGAGAACUAUGUAACUACUUUUUUGGGAUUAUCAACAAGAUCUUUUUAUAAUUUUAAUUUAAGCUCUAUUAGAGUAACUUGUAACAUUUGGACUUAAUUGAAAUAUGAUUUGGAAUAUCACUUGGAA